rnacentral:lncRNA from 1 species
GGAGGGGAGGCGGUGCGGUAAUCUGAUUUCUAGAAAGGUUGGGUGGUGGAUGGGGUAGAGAUUAGGAGCUAGUGAAUGGGUUUUAUCUAGCUAUCCUAGCUGGCUUGUAAUACAAAUUAAACUGGCAACAAUAGUCGGUUGCUAACAAGUAACAAAUACUGGCAAGGAUACUCUUGUAUCUAGUUGUGGUCUUGGUGAAUAGUCUAGAGAGAUCACAUAUAAUAGAAGUUGGUGUAAUUAGGAGCAAGGAUUACAGGGAGAGGGUGUUGCAACUGGCGUAUCAGAGUGAGAUUGCUAUCAUAAUUGGAAGUAUACUUGUGGUACGAUAUAUAGAGGGGCGUUUAGGUGCAUUAUAUCUGUUAAGUUCUCAAGUAUAUGUAAAGUACUUUCCAAUGAAUUAAUAAAAUGUAAAAACUAUGUUUCAACAGAAUAUAUAUACUACUUAGAAGAAAUAAGGUCCUGCAAACGCAUGAAGUAUGUUUCGGGUCCCAAACUAGAAAAACAAAUGGAUUAAGUCGCACCUUAAUUAACCAAAGCAGGUGAGGGAAAAGGAAGAGACAAUUCCCUAUUUGACACUUGUGUAAUGACUGAUUCCUUCCUUGGUCCUCAAAAUUUCAGCUUCCCUUAUUUGACACUGACUCUAAAUUUCAUGCCCUAUAUGACAUUUCAUUAGUUUUGCUAUCCAACGGCUGUUAAAUGACAUGUGAAUAGACCAAUUUGCCCACGUUAUCUCAUGCAGCAAUCAUCACAUAUUAAUAUUACAUGAUAUUUGCUCAUGUUGUCUCCUGCAGAAACAACAUAUUAAUAUUCCAUGAUAUUAACCCGCUCCAAUCCCCGAU